CGCCCAGUCGCCAGUAACCAUAAUCUCCCAUCAGUGUUCAUUGCGGAUGUUGCGAGGAAAGAUCCCAAAAAUUUUAAUGUUUUCUUAAAUUAUUAAAUAGUGGAAGAAGUCAAACGUAUUUCAUUUAAAGUUUUACAAAAUGUCUCACAUUCAGUCCGUUAAACGCGUUACGCAUUUGCAAUUGUUCUUCCUAUGUUCACUAUUAUUUUGCUGGAUACAAAAUGUGAAUGGUAUAUAUGAAGCACGUCGCUACUCCGAUCGUUCGCGUAUAUCGUGUGAGAAUCCUGGAACGCUACCGAAUGGCUUUUCGGCGCCGAGACGUCGUAAUACGAUGUUAACACAUCAUUGCAACUUUGGUUUUAAGAUAUUCGGUGAUCGGCGAACGAAUUGCAAUCGUGGCAAAUGGAUUGGCAAUCGUCCAAUUUGUGCAACCAAUACAUGUUCAUUUCCAGCGAAGAAUCCAGAAAAUGGUAGAAUACAAUAUGUAGAUCAAUAUCAUGUCGGUGUCUACUGUUCGGAGGGUUAUGAAUUGGCUGGUAAUCGUUUUGCUUAUUGCAAUGGCACCGAUUGGGAUCGCCCGUUAGGCUUUUGCAGGUUACGCCCCGACAAAGUGAGACACGAAUGUGAUUUUGAGUCUGAUGAUAUUUGCGGCUGGGUCACAGACAUAGCGGACGGUUUCGGAUGGAAACGUACGAUGGCUACAAAUGUGUUCACCUCAUUUCAUACGGGGCCGCGUCACGAUCACACUACAAUGCGAGCCAGUGGCGGUCACUAUAUGCUGAUGGAAAGUUUUGGGCUCACAUCAACACCAGCCGCCCUCACAUCACCCAUUUAUGAACGUGCCAUAAGUCUGAAGACAGCGUGUUGCUUUCAAUUUCACUAUUUUAUGUAUGGCGCAGGUGUUGGCAAUUUAAGAGUCUACGUCAAACCGUUCACGAAAAUGUUAUCGGAUGUUAUUGACGACCAAGAAAACUUUUUGAAGUUCAAAAAGUCUGGUAAUCAGAAUAACAAUUGGAACGAGGCACAUUUUAGCAUCGACGAAAUGGAGGAAGAUUUUCAAAUCGUAUUCGUAGCAGACGGCGCUAAGAGUCAUUUGAGUGACAUAGCUAUAGACGACGUUAAGAUAAUGUUUGGUACCGAAUGUAAAUCGUUGGAUAAUCAUGAUGAUGAAGCCGAUGACUCUGCUGAAUAUGAGCCUACAACUACAGAACAAUCUCUCUACGAUACUUUAUCGUGUGUAUCGCGGUGCGGCGAAGAGGCGAAUAUUGGUAUAAUGCGUAAUUCCACACAUUUGAUAGGUCUAUGUAGUUGUCACGAUAGCUGUAUAGUUGACGAUAAUUGCUGUCCGGACUAUACGAAAGUCUGUCUCGAUGCUCCGGAGUCUACCACCGUAAUACCGGACAUUGUUACAACAACGAUUAGAAGGGACACGAAAUCGACAUCAACAACGUCGAAAGAAAUUAUAAUAAAACCACCAACAACUACGACAACAACGACCAAAAAGGCCACAACAACAAGCACAAGUACAACAACAAUACGUUCAACUCCAAUAACAAGCACGAGUAAGCCAACAACAACCUCAACCACAACCUCAACCACAACCACAACCGCCAAACCCAAAGUAAGCUCUACUAUACUCACAACCCCGUCAACAACAAAAACAACAACAACUACAACAACGACUACAAUACGUACAAUACCCACAACAAUAACAACGUCUACAAAAAGUUCAACUGCUACGACCAAAAUCAUACCUCCAACUCAAACUUACACCGUACACCACACACAGCCGAUCUUGAAUGUGACCACCGCCGCAACCAUUGAGCGCAAAACAACCGCAGACGUUAUCACGAAUUUACCAACCAAUGGGACUGACACACAAUCCUUCGUAGAGAUCGGUGGCAAAUAUUAUUUAAUAAACACUGCUGUCAAGAUGAAUUGGUUCGCAGCUUCGCUCUAUUGUCGCAAUUUUGAUAGUGAUUUGGCCGUUAUCAAGUCGCAAGAGGAGAUGGAUGCAUUGACUUUUUAUUUAACGAAUAAAGGUCAUAUUGAUAAACGCUUUUGGCUUGGCCUUAGCGAUUUGGCGGAUGAGGGCAAAUUUAUAUCAAACAUCGACGGAUUUCCAAUGCCCUACUCUAAAUGGUCAAGCGGUCAACCGGAUAACAAUGAGAACCAUGAGAAUUGCGUUCAUCUUUGGACCAUUAAUAAUGUAUUCCAUAUGAAUGACAACAGAUGCGAGUUAAUGGCUUAUGUCAUUUGUGAGUUGCGAAAACGGAGCAAGAGUUGUGACAUGUGCGAUUUAAUACAAAUUCUGAGUCGAGGCAAGCUUGUCUUCGCUGAGUAAUUUGCAGACUUGAGUUGUCUAAACUAAAUGACAAACAUUAAGACUCCAAGAGAAAAAAUGACGAUUAUUGGGAAGAGAAGAUAAUUGUGAUGGGUCAAGUUACACACUCACCUUCGCCUGCCAGAGCCGAUGUCACGACGAUAGCCGCAGUUUAACGGGUUCGCCGUUACCGAUGAUUUUGUUGCAAAUUGGUCAUUGCUGCACGUUGCACACAUUAUUGGUUGCCCGUUAACGCGUUGCAAGCGUUCAUUGCACUUUGGCUUUGUUGCACACGCCACGCUUCGCCGUUUGUGUGGCACGUAAUUUGUGUUAGCCUACAUUUCGAUUCUGAGAACUGAGAUACGUAAUACAACAGUGGCUUCGUCUUUAUGGUUUCAUGUGAGUCAUCAACAGUUGAGUCAUCAAUAUGUGACAUAAGAUUGGUUGUCACUUAUUGCAGCACUACAAAGCUGUUCAAGAUGAAGAGUUUAAGCGCUGAAAGAAAGAAUUCUUACAUUCAUUGGAGCUGAGAAUUACUUUAAACAACGCUGUCAAAAACGUAAACGUGUUAUCUGCGAUGCAAUGAGAUCAACCACCAUACACAAUAAACAAUCCUAUUAACCAUGGCGAGUAAAACAUCAUAUAUGCACCAGUCGGUUUACAUAAAGUUAAUAGAAAGCGCAGUCACACCAUAUACAGCUUUUUAACCUUUGAAUUUUGGGAUGCAUAAAUCGUUAAAUAACAAUAAUAUUAAUAUUGAGUACAGGUUUGACAUAAUAUAACACCGAAAAGUAAAAAAAAAAAUAAGCGAAUUUGUCAAACUAUAUUUCUCACUUUAUUUAUAUGAUCAAAUUAUCUUUUCUGUUUUUUUUUUUUAUUCACCAAUAUAAUGAAUCUUAAAUUUCUAUAAGCCCUGCAUUUGUCAAACAAACUUAAGGCGCCUGAAAAAAUAGAAGGCUAAACAACUAGCAGUUGGAUAAACGCCAAUAAUGAUUUUAUCCCAAGGAUCGUAAAGAACUUGUAAAAGAAUUCUAGUAGAUGAUCUCCUUAGAAAAAUAAUAGUUAAACGAAGUUUGAAAAAUAAAAAUUAAUUUAUUUAAUAAUAAUUAAUAUUAUAUUAUUCUGAUCGAUUAAAAA